UCUGAAUCACAGUACACCCAAAGCAUGGAAUAAAUUUCAGCUACUAAGAAGAAUGAGAAAAGGAAACAGGCUUGGAGAAGUUAAGGAGCUGCCCAUGAUCAAGCAACUGGUAGACAGACAAGUCACCACUGGACCCAGCUCCUGACUUCGUCAGUGGUGGAGCAACGAGGAACUGAAUGAAUAUAUGACUUGUAACUCUUUGGACACACACCUAGAGACAUCUUGCCACCACAUGGGGAGAACCUGCCUGAGAGGAUGGGGGGCAGAUGGAGAGGUGGAGAGAGUUAGCUUAGGAGUCUGGUUCCAGGAACCAGAUGCUCUUUCUGUUUGCCAGAUGAAAGAACGGAGGCUCAGAGAGGUGAGAUGAUUAGCCAAAGUCAGACAGCUUUUAAG